rnacentral:lncRNA from 1 species
UUCCACAGCCCAGAAACCAGGGCAGUUUGCCGGCCUGCCAGGCCCUCCAGCGCUUCUAUCAGCAGCUCUGAGUUGAUGGAUGAUACUCCUCUGAAAAACAGAGAAAUCCCUCAGAGCCUGGGUGGAGAGCUUCCUUUCAUUUGCACAAUGAAGAAAAUGAGGUAGACAGAGGUCAGCUGAGUUGCCCAAGCUAGUGAGUAUCUGAGGCUAGAUUUGAACUCAGGAUUCCUGAAACCAGACCCAAACUUGUGCCACUUCAUAGC